rnacentral:piRNA from 1 species
UGAAACAUGUCGUCUGCCCAUACCA